AACGCUAGCUACAGGCUUAACGCAUGCAAGUCGAGGGGCAGCACUAGGUAGCAAUACUGAGGUGGCGACCGGCGCACGGGUGCGUAACGCGUAUCCAACCUUCCCGUUACUCUUGGAUAGCCUUCCGAAAGGGAGAUUAAUACAAGAUGGUAUUCAAAUUCCGCAUGUUAUUUGAAUUAAAGAUUUAUCGGUAACGGAUGGGGAUGCGUGACAUUAGAUAGUAGGCGGGGUAACGGCCCACCUAGUCUACGAUGUCUAGGGGUUCUGAGAGGAAGGUCCCCCACACUGGAACUGAGAUACGGUCCAGACUCCUACGGGAGGCAGCAGUGAGGAAUAUUGGUCAAUGGUCGGAAGACUGAACCAGCCAAGUAGCGUGAAGGAUGAAGGUUCUAUGGAUUGUAAACUUCUUUUAUACGGGAAUAAAACACCUUACGUGUAGGGUCUUGUAUGUACCGUAUGAAUAAGCAUCGGCUAACUCCGUGCCAGCAGCCGCGGUAAUACGGAGGAUGCGAGCGUUAUCCGGAUUUAUUGGGUUUAAAGGGAGCGUAGACGGGAUGUUAAGUCAGUUGUGAAAGGCUGCGGCUCAACCGCAGCACUGCAGUUGAUACUGGCGUCCUUGAGUGCGGUUGAGGUAUGUGGAAUUCGUGGUGUAGCGGUGAAAUGCUUAGAUAUCACGAAGAACUCCGAUUG
rnacentral:rRNA from 1 species